GCAAUGUCCCACCUCCCCAUGCAGAAGCCAGAAAUGCUCCCUCAGAGCCUCCCACACAGCGGGGAGGAGGCACGUGAGGAGGGAUCUGACAACACACACACUGCCGAGGGCCAUUGAGGCGUGCGUGUGAGCUGCAAAGGAGCGGCUGUCACUUGACUUCACUCUGGGGUGGCAGCCAAGAGGCAGCCAGUGUCUGGGGUGCCGUGGGCAUUGUGUGGCCACCCCCAUUGCACUGGAGCCUCUGGCCCCCCUGGAGAUGUUACCAACUCCCUGACAUCCUCUGAACCCUUCUUUAACCUCAUUCUCUUCAGCUAGUUAGAGUGGACUCUGUUGGUUAUGCCCAGCUGGGAUAAGCCCCUGACUUGGAUGACUAACGAAGACUGGGCCAAGAAUAAAGUCACAGAGGACUCCUUCCAUCUUCUCCCUCCGGCUGUGGCCUUGUUCCUGACUUCUUUAGAAUCAAUCAGCAAAAAUCCAAUGAUACAUCCAACUGUAAACUCCCAACGAAAUCUAGAAAUCGACUACCUGAAGAUACUGGAGAAUGAAAAAAAGCAGGCAGAUACUGGAGGGAAGUUGACACUUGGAAGAAAAGGACAUCACAGAGUGGAGCCUGAUUCUCCUCCCCUGGAACAGGCGUUGGCCUUAGUGUCUCACCUCCAACAAGCAGAAAGAAGUGACGGUGUGUGAUGUCCAGCUUGCACUUGGCUCUUUUUCUGUUGGGAUGCUUUCCCUUGGCACCCAGCCACCAUGUUGUGAGGAAGCCCAGGCCACGCGUAGAGGCCCAGCCUCAGUCCACAUGGAGAGGCCCACAUGGAGAAGAAACGAGUCAAAGCCCCCAGUCAACAGCCAGCACCAGCUGCCAGACGUGUGAGGGACCCAGCUCUUGAGCCCUCCAACUGAGGCCCCAACACCGGGAGCAAAGACUGGCCAUCUCCACUGUGUCCUUUCCCAACUCUUGCUCCAUAGACUCCACAAAGAGUUGUUUUACACCACUAAGUCUUGGGGUGAUUUAUUA
rnacentral:lncRNA from 1 species